GCCACGGUGGUCUAGCGGUUAGAACGAUGGCCUUGUAAUCCUGGGGUCUCGGGUUCGAUUCCCGGCGGUGCCC
rfam:Zootermopsis nevadensis contig34834, whole genome shotgun sequence.